GUCUAGGAUACAGAAAACAACCUUAAAAUACAUCUACUGAUCUUGGGAGCUAAACAGGGUUGGGCCUGGUUAGUACUUGGAUGGGAGACCACCUAGGAAGACCAGGCGCUUUAGGUG
rnacentral:rRNA from 1 species